rnacentral:rRNA from 1 species
GACGUAGGGCGCGAGCGUUGUCCGGAUUUAUUGGGCGUAAAGAGCUCGUAGGCGGCUUGUCGCGUCGAAUGUGAAAUUUUAGGGCUCAACCCUGACAUUGCAUUCGAUACGGGCAGGCUUGAGUUCGGUAGGGGAGACUGGAAUUCCUGGUGUAGCGGUGAAAUGCGCAGAUAUCAGGAGGAACACCAAUGGCGAAGGCAGCUCGCUGGGACGUGACUGACGCUGAGACGCGAAAGCGUGGGGAGCAAACAGG